rnacentral:rRNA from 1 species
UACGAAGGGUGCAAGCGUUAAUCGGAAUUACUGGGCGUAAAGCGUGCGUAGGCGGUUUGUUAAGUCUGUUGUGAAAUCCCCGGGCUCAACCUGGGAAUGGCAAUGGAUACUGGCAGGCUAGAGUGUGUCAGAGGAUGGUGGAAUUCCCGGUGUAGCGGUGAAAUGCGUAGAGAUGUGGAGGAACACCGAUGGCGAAGGCAGCCCCCUGGGUCAAGAUUGACGCUCAUGCACGAAAGCGUGGGGAGCAAACAGG